GUUGCCCAACCUGCUGCGCGACGCGCUAGCCAUUUCGCCACCGAGCGGUAAUCCGCAAAAUAUGUUGGAUGAGAAAAUCAGAACGAGAAAAACUAUAAUUUAGUUUAGAGAAACUUAAAGCGUUUGAUAUUGCAAAAGUUUGGAAGUCUACCAAUAUAAUAAAACCUGUUUCUUCUAAAAGCGUAGAAAACCCAUCAUCAUAAGAUCCUGUGGGGUUUUUACCGUUUUCAAUAACAUACUUUGGGAGCGACUUUCGCAGAAUGAAAGCCGAUAGAGGAAAAGGAAAAGGAUGUUCGCUUUGAGAGAGAGUUGAUAACAAAAAUAAAGAUGUCUUUGUACUGAUAGAAACAAAUACGUUUUUUUUUAACUCCAUUUUAGAAAUGGAUAUAGCAGUUUUCGUUUUAACUUCAUUUUUUCUUUCAGGUGCUUUUGGGUCUCAGAACUUUAAAUGCGGUCCUGUCGACAAGUUAUAUUGCAACGCUAUCCCUAAGGUGAUUGAAAAAGACAAAAUGUUCAGCAUUAGUGAGGAAACACUUCGGGACAACUGCACGUAAGUUUUACUUUGCUAAAAAAAAAAAAAAAAAUUAUCAUCUUUCAAUUUAAAGUAUUUUUAUACUUUAAAUAAAAAAAAUUAAAAAUUAAAAAAAAAAAAAUUAAAUUAAAAAAUUA